UACGGCCACAUCACGUUGAAACUCCGGUUUCCGUACGAUCACCGAAUUUAAGUAUCGUCGAGUUUGGUCAGUGUCUGGAUGGGUGACCACUUUGGAAUACUAGGUCUUGUAAG